rnacentral:rRNA from 1 species
GACGAACGCUGGCGGCGUGCUUAACACAUGCAAGUCGAACGGAAAGGCCCUGCUUUUGUUGGGUGCUCGAGUGGCGAACGGGUGAGUAACACGUGAGUAACCUGCCCUUGACUUUGGGAUAACUUCAGGAAACUGGGGCUAAUACCGGAUAGGAGCUCCUGCUGCAUGGUGUGGGUUGGAAAGUUUCGGCGGUUGGGGAUGGACUCGCGGCUUAUCAGCUUGUUGGUGGGGUAGUGGCUUACCAAGGCUUUGACGGGUAGCCGGCCUGAGAGGGUGACCGGCCACAUUGGGACUGAGAUAGGGCCCAGACUCGUACGGGAGGCAGCAGUGGGGAAUAUUGCACAAUGGGCGGAAGCCUGAUGUAGCAACGCCGCGUGCGGGAUGACGGCCUUCGGGUUGUAAACCGAUUUCGCCUGUGCCGAGGAGUGAGUGACGGUACUGGGUAAAGAAGCCCCGGCUAACUACGUG